rnacentral:rRNA from 2 species
UGGUGCCAGCAGCCGCGGUAAUUCCAGCUCCAAUAGCGUAUAUUAAAGUUGUUGCAGUUAAAAAGCUCGUAGUUGAAUUUCGGGAUGAUCAGGUUGGUCGUGCCAUUGGUAUGUACUAGCUUUGGUGGUUCCUACCUCUUGAAGAACCGUAAUGUCAUUAACUUGGUGUUGCGGGGAAUCAGGACUGUUACUUUGAAAAAAUUAGAGUGUUUAAAGCAGGCAAACGCUUGAAUACAUUAGCAUGGAAUAAUGAAAUAGGACGUUUGAUCUUAUUUUGUUGGUUUCUAGGAUCGACGUAAUGAUUAAUAGGGAUAGUUGGGGGCAUUAGUAUUCAAUUGUCAGAGGUGAAAUUCUUGGAUUUAUUGAAGACUAACUACUGCGAAAGCAUUUGCCAAGGAUGUUUUCAUUAAUCAAGAACGAAAGUUAGGGGAUCGAAGACGAUCAGAUACCGUCGUAGUCUUAACCAUAAACUAUGCCGACUAGGGA